GGGCAAGUCUGGUGCCAGCAGCCGCGGUAAUUCCAGCUCCAAUAGCGUAUAUUAAAGUUGUUGCAGUUAAAAAGCUCGUAGUUGAAUUUUUGAUCUGGCCAAGGUGUCGGCCGCAAGGUCUGUACUUCUUGGCUGGAUCUUUCCUUCUGGAGAGCCAUUAUGCCAUUUAUUUGGUGUUUUGGGGAUCCAGGACUUUUACCUUGAAAAAAUUAGAGUGUUUAAAGCAGGCAUACGCUUGAAUACAUUAGCAUGGAAUAAUAGAAUAGGACUUUGGUUCUAUUUUGUUGGUUUCUAGGACCGAAGUAAUGAUUAAUAGGGACAGUUGGGGGCAUUAGUAUUUCAAAGUCAGAGGUGAAAUUCUUGGAUUUUUGAAAGACUAACUUCUGCGAAAGCAUUUGCCAAGGAUGUUUUCAUUAAUCAAGAACGAAAGUUAGGGGAUCGAAGACGAUCAGAUACCGUCGUAGUCUUAACCAUAAACUAUGCCGACUAGGGAUCGGACGAUGUUACUUUAUUGACUCGUUCGGCGCCUUACGGGAAAC
rnacentral:rRNA from 1 species